rnacentral:piRNA from 1 species
UAAAAAGUCAGGGCUCACCA